AGGAGAGUACCAAUAUUUCACUUAUUAUUCAAAAAGAAAAUGUAUUUUCUAACCAAUGAGACAAUUUCUUUUUUUCUUUUCCUUUCCUUUCCUUUCCUUUCCUUUCCUUUCCUUUCCUUUCCUUUCGGGUCCUUUCCUUUCCUUUCCUUUCCUUUCCUUUCCGUUCCUUUCCUUUCCUUUCCUUUGCUUUCCGGUCCUUUCCUUUCCUUUCCUUUCCUUUCCUUUCCUUUCCUUUUCUUUCCUUUUUCUUUUCUUCUCUUCCUUCCUUCCUUC
rnacentral:lncRNA from 1 species